rnacentral:lncRNA from 1 species
GGCCGGGUGCCCCGAGACCUGCUCAGCCCCCGGCCAGCGUGGGACCCUCACAGGAUGGGGCGCAAGACCAGACCUUUUUCCCCACGAGGAGGUUCCAGUAUUUGCUGGCAACCUGUGAGAACUGCAGCGCCCGGGUAUUUGGAGAAGAUUGUUGGAAAAUCUCUCCCACUGCCAGACCUGAUUGGUAAUUUGGGAAAAAAAGUCCCUGCAAAGCAGAGGGCUUUCUGUCCAGGCCUGAACAGAGGCAACCACCACCAGGGCCCAGUUCUCCAGAGUGGCUUUGGAAGACUCACUCCAGGCGGUGAUGAAGGAUCCCCUGGCUCCACCCCAAAUUUGAAUUUGAAUCUCUGGAGCUAAGAGCUCUACCGGGGCACCGAGUCGGGUGUAAACUCCGCACGCUGUCUGCCUCCCCCAUGGCAUGGACGUUUGCUGUAUGGGGCUGCGUAGCAGCCUUUGGCCUCCUUUGGGAAACUGCUCCUUGAUUUCACGCUCACUGCUUACCUCUCGAUCAUGAUGGGGGAGCUGGUACCGCCUAUGUCAGAGGAUCCUGCAGGCCCUUCCCUGGCCAAGAGUUGGAUGCCUGACUCAACUUGGGUAAGUUUGACUCUAACAGGAGCAGAAGUGAUAAAAAGAUUGAAGUCCUGGGCGCCUGGGUGGCUCAGUCAGUUAAGUGUCUGCCUUCGGUUCAGGUCUUGAUCCUAGAGUCCUGGGAUCGAGUCUUGCAUCGGGCUCCUUGCUCAGUGGGGAGACUGCUUCUCCCUCUCCUCCCCACUGCUCAUGCUCUCUCUCGCUAUCUCUGUCUCUCUUUCACAAAUAAAUAAAUAAAAUCUUAAAAAAAAAAUUGAAGU